CCCCUCCCCGCCCCGCCCGCUCAGCCGCCAGCGCCACACCCGGCCCGGGCCGCGGCCCGACCUGCGCCUCCCUGGCAGUGGAGAGGGUCCCGAGCUGCAGCGGCUCCCGGCGGGGCAGCCUUAUUCCACGGAAGCCUUUUUUGGAUGAGUUUUGUGUCAACACCUCCAACUCUGGGACAUCGAUCAUGACCACACUGGCUGACUCAAGGACAUGCCUCUUCCUUUGAAGACAUAAAUCACUUCUGCUUUAUUAUGAGUAGGGCAGCGCAGCGAGAUAGAAAAAUUGAAGAUCAGGAUGAGCUCUGGUAGCAGUUGACAACCCUUCAUGAAGUGGAAUCUGAGCUGCGUUUUCAAAAAUGAGAAGAACUUAUCCUGAGAUGGAAUUUAAAAUCAAGACUUUCCUUGGGCAGUACUCUUAUUCCAGAUCUAGACACAAAGUUUUGAGGUGAUUUGUUUUGCAGCAAAUAGAUAACUAAUGCAUCAGACGACUCCUCACAAAAUGCAAACUGCUGUAGGAGAAAGAUGACAGCUUGAGUCACCACCAAAAAAGUCAGUAGAUAAAUUUAAAGAAUAUGCCGCCUGGCUGGCUCGGUCCACACAGAAGAGUGUGAGAUGCUUGAUUUCGGGGUCAUGAGUUCAAGCCCCACAUUGGGUGCAGAGAGUACUUAAAUAAAUUUCUUUUUAAAAUAAAGAAAAGAUGGUAAUGUUGGAACCUGAGUUAGUGGUCUGGAAAGUGGAAGAAAGAUUUCAAAAUACAGAGAGAAGAAAAAAAAGCAAUAGAAAUGGUGAAAAAAAUCAAGACAUGGAGGACAGAUGCAGGAGAUGCAAGAUUACCAGAAGGAAAAAAAAAGGAAUGGAGGAGAGGCAAUAAUGGAACAAAAAAAGGAAGAAAAUUUCUCAGAGGGAAAGAACAAUUUGAAUCUGAAGAUUGAAAGGCCUUACUGAAUUCCAGUCAGAUUGAUUAAAAACAACAACAACAGAUAUAUCUACUUACACACAAGCAUGUUGUAAAAUUCCUGAAUUCCAAGAGUCAAAGUACUGAUUUUAUUUUAUUUUAUUUUAUUUUAUUUUAUUUUAUUUUAUUUUAUUUUAUUUUAUUUCAGAGUCUACUCUGAAAUAUCCAACAGUACUAAUUUUAGAAUCUGUUGGAUAGAAAGAAGAAUUUACUUAAAAAGGAAAAAUAUCAGCCUGACAUGACAUUUUGCAUUAAAAACCUGAAGCUAGGGAAAAUGAAGUAAAAUCCACAGACAGUACCAAACAAAUGAAAUAACAAAAACCCUCCCCAAGAAGUCUCCCCCAGCUUAGGUACGGUUCAUUUGUUAGGGUGAAAGAAAAGUCUAUGUGCAUCUAUGGAAAGGAGGCCAGCACAGGAGUGAGAGAGACAAUAGCUGGACCAGAGUGUGUGUGUGAUAAAAUUAACAAAGACGAACAUUUAAAAAAACAACAGUCACUUUUUACCAAGAUGCGAUAAUUGAGAAGAACAUAAUGCCUAUGGCUAGUGGCAGCCGCGAUGAAUGCAGGAGUACAGGAGAGGGCUGGCUCAUACGCUGCAUUUGGAGCGGUGAAUUCAAUAUACACCAUUGGCAACGCAAUCUGGCACUACCUGUUAAAAUAAAAAAUAUGCAGGGCCACCUGGGUGGCUCAGUUGGUUAAGCGUUUGCCUUCGGCUCA